rnacentral:rRNA from 1 species
CGGUGUCGCAGCUAACCGCGUUAAGUUCUCCCGCCUGGGGAGUACCGCCGGCAACGGUAAAACUCAAAGGAAUUGACGGGGACCCGCACAAGCGGUGGAGCAUGUGGUUUAAUUCGAUGCAACGCGAAGAACCUUACCUGCCCUUGACAUUGACAGAACCCUGUAGAGAUACGGGGGUGCUUCGGCCUGGAAAACAGGUGCUGCAUGGCUGUCGUCAGCUCGUGUCGUGAGAUGUUGGGUUAAGUCCCGCAACGAGCGCAACCCUUGUCCUUAGUUGCCAGCACUUCGGGUGGGAACUCUAGGGAGACUGCCGGUGACAAACCGGAGGAAGGUGGGGACGACGUCCAAGUCAUCAUGGCCCUUAUGGGCAGGGCU